rnacentral:rRNA from 1 species
CGUCUAGGUGGCCCGCCAAGUCAGAUGUGAAAUCCCUCGGCUCAACCGAGGAACUGCAUUUGAAACUGGCGAGCUUGAGUACUGUAGAGGGUAGCGGAAUUCCUGGUGUAGAGGUGAAAUUCGUAGAUAUCAGGAGGAACACCAGUGGCGAAGGCGGCUACCUGGCCAGAUACUGACACUAAAGCGCGAAAGCAUGGGGAGCAAACAGGAUUAGAUACCCUGGUAGUCC